GAUGAACGCUGGCGGCGUGCCUAAUACAUGCAAGUCGAGCGAACAGACGAGGAGCUUGCUCCUCCGACGUUAGCGGCGGACGGGUGAGUAACACGUGGAUAACCUACCUAUAAGACUGGGAUAACUUCGGGAAACCGGAGCUAAUACCGGAUAAUAUAUUGAACCGCAUGGUUCAAUAGUGAAAGACGGUUUUGCUGUCACUUAUAGAUGGAUCCGCGCCGCAUUAGCUAGUUGGUAAGGUAACGGCUUACCAAGGCAACGAUGCGUAGCCGACCUGAGAGGGUGAUCGGCCACACUGGAACUGAGACACGGUCCAGACUCCUACGGGAGGCAGCAGUAGGGAAUCUUCCGCAAUGGGCGAAAGCCUGACGGAGCAACGCCGCGUGAGUGAUGAAGGCCUUCGGAUCGUAAAACUCUGUUAUUAGGGAAGAACAAAUGUGUAAGUAACUAUGCACGUCUUGACGGUACCUAAUCAGAAAGCCACGGCUAACUACGUG
rnacentral:rRNA from 1 species